GAUGAACGCUGGCGGCGUGCCUAAUACAUGCAAGUCGAGCGAACAGAUAAGGAGCUUGCUCCUUUGACGUUAGCGGCGGACGGGUGAGUAACACGUGGGUAACCUACCUAUAAGACUGGAAUAACUCCGGGAAACCGGGGCUAAUGCCGGAUAACAUUUAGAACCGCAUGGUUCUAAAGUGAAAGAUGGUUUUACUAUCACUUAUAGAUGGACCCGCGCCGUAUUAGCUAGUUGGUAAGGUAACGGCUUACCAAGGCAACGAUACGUAGCCGACCUGAGAGGGUGAUCGGCCACACUGGAACCGAGACACGGUCCAGACUCCUACGGGAGGCAGCAGUAGGGAAUCUUCCGCAAUGGGCGAAAGCCUGACGGAGCAACGCCGCGUGAGUGAUGAAGGUCUUCGGAUCGUAAAACUCUGUUAUUAGGGAAGAACAAAUGUGUAAGUAACUGUGCACGUCUUGACGGUACCUAAUCAGAAAGCCACGGCUAACUACGUG
rnacentral:rRNA from 1 species